GAUAUUAGUGAUACUGCCGCCAGCCUCGUCCAAAGUCAAACCUCUCCGUCGCUCUCUCUGCACCCAGCACCAUCACAGAACCACCCAACCCUUCCUUGAGCCAAACAGGAACCAAGAAUCCAACAGCCCUGUUUUGCAGGCAUAAAAACAGAGCAGUUUGAUCAGCCACCGUUGCACCGUAGCCCCACCGUGCGCCGCCCAAAGCUGCCGAGUUCCCUCCUGCACGGUGUAUUCCGCCAGCCCACUGCCCAGUCAACACGUAACCGCAGCACCCGCUCUGUUUUUCACACUCAAAACAGAGUUUUGUUCACCUCUUAAGCCAGCCGUAGCCUCCGUCCCACUGCCCAGCCAACGCAAAACCGCAGCAUCCCUGCACAGCCACCGUGACCCAGCCGUGAACCCACCUGUGGAGCCACCGAAAACAUUAGAUGAGUGUGCCCUGUUGCACCACGCCGAAAGAGGGGUGAUAUUUUCCCCACUGUAAGGCACUGCAACCACCUCCACCGAGAACUCCAUCACGUUGAGACGCCCCAAAAAACCGCCACCCCAGGCCAUCUCACGCCUCCUCACAGUUGCGCGCCGCCAGAUCCGCCCGUGUCUCCUCCACUCGCAGCUGCUCUCACGGUGAGUGCCGUUGCCGAGUACCCUGGGUGAGCUAGCGUUUGUACUGCCCUGCAAGUUUAGGGAGUGGUUUUUGCUCUUUACGUGUUACGUGGUAGGAAGAGGAGAUUUCGAGUUUACAAUUUUGCCCUCUGUUUUAUAACUUGGUAUUUUAAGGAUUUAUUUCCGUAGACUUGUUUUUCUACUGGGUUUCUUUUUAUUUUUGUGGGUGUUAUAUUAAGUUAUUUUGAAGUAAAAUGUUUUUGGGUUGAGUUCAGGUUCUAAAUUAUUUUUGGGUUAAGUAAUAUUUUUAUUUCAAUGACUUUUUAUUUUUAAAUGAGUUCGGUUUUUAUUUUUUUUUUAAAUAAACUUGUGAAUAAGUAAGAAUUAAGUUAAGUAGAUAUUAAGUGGACAUCUACAAAGUUGGGAAGUGACGAUAUUUUAGUGUUAAGAGAAUUUUUAGGUUUUUGAGGAAUUAAAAUAGUUAUUUCAUGUGUAAAUAUGUGGUAACUAUUUAUUUGGAGCUUUAUUCAAGUUAUAUGAAUUUUUUCUUUAGGUGACGAUCGUUUUUAGUUAAGUAUUGUUGUGGAGAAUUUCUGAAAAGCUAAGAAGUUCAGGUAAGUGGGGUUCAUAUACUAGACUUUACAUAAAAGAAAUGAAUUGGGAUUGAUUUUUAGAAAAAUAUGCAUGUUUUGUUAAGAAAAUAAUUUUGAAAUAUCUCAGUUAUUUGUUAUGUAUUACUCAUGAAAUUUUGAAUAAGAAUAAAGUAUUUUCUGGCAUGACUAGUGUAGAUAUAAGCUAUUUUGGUAUUUUGUUUAUGAACUAUGCAAAAGAGAGCAAAUGUAAAAUUUGUGCAUAAAUUAUAUUUUUGUAAUCUAAUUUUGUUAUGUUCUGAAGAUGUUCUGUUUUCUGAUAUGAUAUAAUGUGAUUUUUGAAAACCUCUGGCAUGACAUUAUGUUUCUGUUUCUGUUCCGUUCUAACCUUACCACGGGUGUACAGAUGUGGCGUCUAUUUGGAUUGGUACCAACUUUUCUAUUUCUGGUGCACCCACUUUGAAAGUAAAGUGGUUUUCUGCAUGGUUUUUCCUAUGUGCACACUCAGGGCUCCGAGAAUAAUAAACGGAAGAUUCACAUUUUGUUUCUGCUCAGUUGGCCUCCUGGGUUUGCACAACCCUACUACGGGGGUUAAAUAUGAAAUUCUAUUCUUAUGUGAUAUUUCAGUUAUGCAGUGCCAAAAGAACUUUGAAUAAGAAUAUUUUCUGAAACUUUCACUCUAAUAUUUUUGUUAACAUGUUCUAAUUCUGUAUUCUGAAAGUAAAAGUAUUUUUGUUCUACAUCCUGAACUCUGUAAAUGUUCAUAUUUGCAUACUAGUAUAUGUUCUCUGCUUAUUGAGUUGUUGAUAACUCACAUUUAUCUCCAUAACAUUUUUCAGAUAUUUUUUAUACUUCAGCUGGAGAACACUAGUACGAAGUAAUGGAAAAUUUCGAUGAUCAUAUAUGAAUAAGUGCUAAGGAUACAAGUAUUUUUUUAAGGAUCAUAUUUUGUAGGUUUACCUUUGGCAACUAUUUUGGUAAGUCGAGUUAUUGGUAAUUCAAGUCUUGGUGGAGUUGUUAUUCUAUUUUUAUUGAGGGGUUUGGUUAGUAUUUCUGUGAAGGAGCAAGGAUAUAUAAUUUGGGUUGAGCAAAUGAAUUAAUAUUUUAUGGAGUUUUUUCGGAUUUUAUAAUUGUGAUUUUGGAGUUGAUAUUCAGUAAUAAGAGCUAACUCUCCGAACGUUCGAGAUCGGGGCGUAGGCCGCGUAUUCUUUCAACUUUCAAUCACUUUUCCGAUGGCCUUUCAAGGUGCCUCUUCCUCUUCCCUUUCUCCUUCUCCUUCUUGGUGGACAUAUGAUGUAUUCUUGAGUUUUAGAGGUGAAGAUACUCGUAAAAGGUUCACUGCCCAUCUACAUGAUGCAUUGCGUCGAAAAAAUAUAAAUACAUACAUAGAUGACAAGCUUCCAAGAGGGGAGAAAAUCUCACCAGCACUUCUCAAAGCUAUUGAAAACUCAAGAAUUUCAAUUGUCAUACUCUCAAAAAACUAUGCAUCAUCCACAUGGUGCUUGGAUGAAUUGAAGAAGAUCAUCGACUGUAAAACAUCAAAGCAACAAAAGGUUCUACCAGUGUUUUAUGAUGUAAGUCCAACAGAGGUAAGAUAUCAGAGAAAAAAUUUCGGAAAAGCAUUGGCUAAACUUAAAGAUAGGUUCGAGGAUGAGACCGAGGUCCAAAAGUGGAAAGAAGCCCUUAAAAAAGUGGCUGAUUUGUCUGGGUUCACUUUAGGAGACAAGACUGAACCAGAAUUAAUUCAAGAAAUUGUUCGAGAGAUUUCUAAAGUAGUAAAGCCUAAAUGUUUAAAUGACGUUGCCAAGCAUCCAGUCGGAAUGGAGUCUAGAGUACAUGACAUCCAUGAUAUACUUCUACAUGUGGAAGUGAAUGACAUACGCAUACUAGGGAUCUAUGGGCUUGGUGGAGUUGGUAAGACAACUUUGGCUAAAGAAAUCUACAACACAUUUACUGACCAGUUUGAAGAUUGUUGCUUUCUUGCAAACGUGAGAGAAACUUCAAAGAGUGAGUAUGGUUUAAUUCAAUUGCAAGAGACACUUCUUUGCGAGAUCCUAAGAGACUCAAGUUUGAAGGUUAGAAAUGUUGAUGAAGGAAUGGGUCUCAUAAAAGAGAUGCUUUGGAGUAAAAGAAUUCUUUUAGUUCUUGAUGAUUUAGAUCAAUCGGUCAAAGUUGAAAAGCUACUUGGAGGAUGUGAUUGGUUUGGUUUAGGAAGUAUAAUCAUUAUAACAACUAGAGAUCAACAUUUAUUAACUAGUAAUAAUGUUAAUUUACGAUAUAAGGUGAAGGAAUUGGAUCGUGAUGAAGCUCUUCGGCUAUUUUGUUUGAAUGCCUUCAAAAAUGAAAAUCUUAACCCUGAUUUUGUAGAACUCACAGAAGACCUACUGCGCUACGUUGGGGGCCUUCCAUUGGCCUUAAUGGUGCUAGGCUCGAAUCUAUAUGGUAGAGACAUUCAUUAUUGGGGAAGUGCUUUGGAAAAGUACAAAAGAAUUCCUCACAACGAUAUUCAUGAAAAACUUAGAAUAAGUUAUGAUGGCUUGGAAGAAAGCGAGAAGAAUAUUUUCUUAGAUAUUGCAUGUUUCUUUACAGGCGAGGAAGAAGGGUAUGUUACUAAAGUACUUGAUAGUUCUGGUUUCUUUCCUAAAUGUGGUAUCAAAGUACUAGUAGAUAAGUCUCUCAUUACCAUUGAGUCUGGCAGAUUAAUCAUGCAUGACUUACUCAAAGAUAUGGACAAAGAAAUUGUUCGUCAAGAAUCACCUGAAGAACCUGAGAAACGCAGUAGGUUGUGGUUUCAUGAAGACAUUCGUCAUGUAUUUGAAGAAACUAAGGGAACAAACAAGAUUCAAGGCAUAUUGAUAGAGUUUCCAAAACAAGACUUGAUAGAUUUGAAUCCUGAGACUUUCUCGGCAAUGAGAAGGCUUAGGAUAUUUAUAAAUCGUAAUGCACGAUUUUUAAGAGAGCCUAAUUAUCUCUCAAAUGAGCUAAGAGUAUUUGAUUGGCACGGCUAUCCUAGUCAUUUUUUCCCGCAAAAAUUUCAUGGAAAGAAACUCCUCGUUUUAAAAAUGGAUGAUUGCUUCAUCAAAGAAUUAGGAGAAGGAUUGAAGGUACCGUUAUUUCUUUCUUUAAACUAUAUAUAUGUGUGUGUGUGUGUAUAUAUAUGCUGUAAAUUUUUUACAAGCAAAUAUAUUUUCCCUUCUGUUGUUUUCUUUUUUGCAGAAUUUCCAGAAGUUGACUACUAUGAAAUUCUCUAAAUGUAAAUUCCUAAUAACGAUUCCUGAUGUGUCGGGGCUCCAAACUUUAGAGAGAUUGGACAUUGAGUAUUGCAAUAACUUAGUUGAGGUACAUCAAUCUAUUGGCUUCCUUGAUAAACUUGUUAGAUUGUCAAUCCAAAAUUGCCACUGCCUCACUAGUUUUCCAAGAUCCCUCAAGUUGAGAUCUCUAGAAACGCUUAUUCUUUCUUUUGGCAAAAGACUGCAGAAGUUUCCUGAAAUUGAGAGUGAAAUGAAAUGUUUAAGAUUUGUUAAACUAGUACAAAUGACUACUAUAAAAGAAUUACCUUCAUCUAUUGGGAAUCUUUCUAACCUUAAGCAAUUAGAAAUAAUUUGCUACAAACCAAGGUGUAUCCCUAACAGCAUUCGUCGAUCACAAGAUCUGCAUUCUCUCACUCUCGCGCGUCGAUCAGAUGAUCAGAGCCAAUAUCCCUUACCCUCCUCCACUGUAGAAUUGUUCUCAUCAUAUUCUCCUCCAAUGAAUUCAAUUGUGUUUUCGAAACUAGAUUUGGUUCUAUUAACUGCCUUCUAUUCCACCUUGGUUGUUUUAAAUUUAUCGGGAAGCAAUAUUGUCGUUAUCCUUCCUGAGUGGAUCAGAGGAUUUGUUCAAUUACGGGUUCUUAUGUUGUGUCAUUGCGAGCAACUUAAAGAAAUCUUAGAACUUCCUCCAAAUAUAAGAGAGGUAGACAUUAGUGGAUGCAUUUCAUUGGAGAGUUUUCCUGAAGUAUCAAAUAAGUUUGAAUUCAAUACAAGCAGCUUACAUAAGCUAUGUUGGAUUAACUUGAGUGGAUGCCAUAAAAUGGUUGUAAAUCCUCUACGAUUUGAGGAAAAUGUAGAGGACUUGGAUGAAGAUUGUGAACUUAUAUUUUCGGAAAAUAAAAUUCCAGAUUGGGACUACCAUUGCAAGCUGAAGAAGACUCCAAAUAGUUAUGUAUAUGAUGGGAUAAAUGCUGAUUUUGUGUAUUCAUAUGACAUUAAAGGAUUCAUUGCAUGUGUUGUUGUUCAGUCCGAUCCCUCCCAAAGGUCUUCCUGCAAGAAUAUGCAUAUCGGGAUCUACUAUAAUGGUGUAUAUCAGUAUACCACGUAUAUUCCAUGUAUUGAUCCAAGUGGCUCAGAUAAUGUAUUGUUGCAUUACCACAAACUCAAAGGAGAGCGUUUCAAAUCAGUGGAAGGAAUUCUACAACUUAAGUUUUAUAGCAACUUAGGAGAUCAAUACAGAGGUAGUGUCCUAAUUAAAAGUUUUGGAAUCCGUGUGGUACACAAGCAAAAGGAGAUCAGUACAUUGCAAGACGUUGCAAGUUGGAGUCCUUGUGUUAACGUCCAGCCUUCUUCAGAAUCAAUAAUUUAUGAUUUAGAGAAAGAAAGCGAUGAUGAGAAUCCAAAUAAAGAUUUGGAACUUGGGGCCCAUUUGGUAGAGAAGCAUGAAUAAAAUGUAAGAGAUCAUGAUACAGGUGUGCUCCAUGAAGAUGUUGGUGCCCAUUUUGAUGCAUCCAGUGAAGACACUGAAGGUUGGGUAGAUUUAAUGGAUGGUAAAAGGCGUCGUGAUGAAGAUGAUUGCAACCUGGAAUUCAAUUGGUACCCUCAACAAAAGAGGCAGUAUUCCUCAACCAUGAGCAUCAGAAUAACAGAAUUAGAGAAUAUUGAUGAGAAUCCAAAGGAAGAUUUGGAUUUAGAGCUUAAACUUGGGUUGUAAUUAACAAGUGCAAUCUUCAAUUUUGUUUGUUGUUUCGCUGCCUUCUUGAGAUAAGGAGAUAUGCAUGAUCAGCUUGACAAGAUGGAGUCCAGACUGAACCAAACAAAUCACCAUCCAUGCUACCAGACAAUUGUUCAUGUGGAAUUUUAUAGCUUUAAGGUAAUUUUUUGUUUUUUUUUUUUUUUUGGUGCAUUGGUUAUGUCACUGCACAG